GAACGAACGCUGGCGGCAGGCCUAACACAUGCAAGUCGAACGCCGUAGCAAUACGGAGUGGCAGACGGGUGAGUAACACGUGGGAACGUACCCUUCGGUUCGGGAUAACUCAGGGAAACUUGAGCUAAUACCGGAUACGUCCGAGAGGAGAAAGAUUUAUUGCCGAGGGAUCGGCCCGGCGUCUGAUUAGCUUGUUGGUGAGGUAACGGCUCACCAAGGCGACGAUCAGUAGCUGGUCGAGAGGAUGAUCAGCCACAUUGGGACUGAGACACGGCCCAAACUCCUACGGGAGGCAGCAGUGGGGAAUAUUGGACAAUGGGCGCAAGCCUGAUCCAGCCAUGCCGCGUGAGUGAUGAAGGCCCUAGGGUU
rnacentral:rRNA from 1 species